GAUGAACGCUGGCGGCGUGCCUAAUACAUGCCAGUCGAGCGAACAGACGAGGAGCUUGCUCCUCUGACGUUAGCGGCGGACGGGUGAGUAACACGUGGAUAACCUACCUAUAAUACUGGGAUAACUUCGGGAAACCGGAGCUAAUACCGUAUAAUAUAUUGAACCGCAUGGUUCGAUAGUGAAAGACGGUUUUGCUGGCACUUAUAGAUGGAUCCGCGCCGCAUUAGCUAGUUGGUAAGGUAACGGCUUACCAAGGCGACGAUGCGUAGGCGACCGGAGAGGGUGAUAGCCCCCCUUGGAAGUUAGACACGCUCCAUGGUCCUACGGUACGCAGCAGUAGGGAAUCUUCCGCAAUGGGCGAAAGCCUGACGCAGCAACGCCGAGUGAGUGAUGAAGGUCUUCGGAUCGUAAAGCUCUGUUAUUAGGGAAGAACAACUGUGUACGUAAAUAUGCACGUCUUGACGGUACCUAAUAAGAAAGCAACGGCUAACUACGUG
rnacentral:rRNA from 1 species